rnacentral:rRNA from 1 species
GAUGAACGCUGGCGGCGUGCCUAAUACAUGCAAGUCGAGCGAACGGACGAUAAGCUCGCUUCCCUGCUGUUAGCGGCGGACGGGUGAGUAACACGUGGAUAACCUACCUAUAAGACUGGGAUAACUUCGGGAAACCGGAGACAAUACCGGAUAAUAUUUUGAACCGCAUGGUUCAAAAGUGCAAGACGGCUUUGCUGUCACUUAUAGAUGGAUCCGCGCUGCAUUAGCUAGUUGGUAAGGUAACGGCUUACCAAGGCAACGAUGCAUAGCCGACCUGAGAGGGUGAUCGGCCACACUGGAACUGAGACACGGUCCAGACUCCUACGGGAGGCAGCAGUAGGGAAUCUUCCGCAAUGGGCGAAAGCCUGACGGAGCAACGCCGCGUGAGUGAUGAAGGUCUUCGGAUCGUAAAACUCUGUUAUUAGGGAAGAACAUAUGUGUAAGUAACUGUGCACAUCUUGACGGUACCUAAUCAGAAAGCCACGGCUAACUACGUG